rnacentral:rRNA from 1 species
GCAUAUCAAUAAGCGGAGGAAAAGAAACCAACAGGGAUUACCUCAGUAACGGCGAGUGAAGCGGUAACAGCUCAAAUUUGAAAUCUGGCAGCAAUGUCCGAGUUGUAAUUUGUAGAGGAUGUUUCGAGCAUGGUCUGGCCUAAGUUCCUUGGAACAGGACGUCAUAGAGGGUGAGAAUCCCGUAUGCGGUCAGGUGCCUACGCUCAUGUGAAACUCCUUCGACGAGUCGAGUUGUUUGGGAAUGCAGCUCAAAAUGGGUGGUAAAUUUCAUCUAAAGCUAAAUAUUGGCCAGAGACCGAUAGCGCACAAGUAGAGUGAUCGAAAGAUGAAAAGCACUUUGGAAAGAGAGUUAAACAGUACGUGAAAUUGUUGAAAGGGAAGCGCUUGCAACCAGACUUGCACGCAGUUAAUCAUCCGCUGUUCUCAGUGGUGCACUUGAUUGCGUUCAGGCCAGCAUCGGUUUUGGUGGUGGGAUAAAGGCCUUAGGAAUGUAGCUGCUUUCGGGCAGUGUUAUAGCCUAGGGUGCAAUGCCGCCUACUGGGACCGAGGACCGCGCUUCGGCUAGGAUGCUGGCGUAAUGGUUGUAAGCGACCCGUCUUGAAACACGGACCAAGGAGUCUAACAUCUAUGCGAGUGUUUGGGUGUCAAACCCAUACGCGUAAUGAAAGUGAACGGAGGUCAGAACCCUUAAGGGUGCAUGAUCGACCGGUCCUGAAGUCUUCGGAUGGAUCUGAGUAAGAGCAUAGCUGUUGGGACCCGAAAGAUGGUGAACUAUGCCUGAAUAGGGUGAAGCCAGAGGAAACUCUGGUGGAGGCUCGCAGCGGUUCUGACGUGCAAAUCGAUCGUCAAAUUUGGGUAUAGGGGCGAAAGACUAAUCGAACCAUCUAGUAGCUGGUCUGCGA